rnacentral:rRNA from 1 species
UUAAAUUGAUGAGUUUGAUCAUGGCUCAGAUUGAACGCUGGCGGCAGGCUUAACACAUGCAAGUCGAACGGUAACAGGAACCAGACUGCUGCUUCGCUGACGCGUGGCAGACGGGUGAGCACUGUCUGGGGAGCUG